rnacentral:rRNA from 1 species
GACAGAGGGUGCAAACGUUUGUUCGGAAUUACUGGGCGUAAAGCGCGUGUAGGCUGCUCUGCAAGUCGGAUGUGAAAGCCCUGGGCUCAACCUAGGAAGUGCAUUCGAAACUGCAGAGCUGGAGUCCUGGAGAGGAAGGCGGAAUUCUCGGUGUAGAGGUGAAAUUCGUAGAUAUCGAGAGGAACACCGGUGGCGAAGGCGGCCUUCUGGACAGUGACUGACGCUGAGACGCGAAAGCGUGGGGAGCAAACAGG